GCGCUCUCCGUGGGGGGCGGGGCCGGUGACUCACGCCGCCCGGCCCCUCGCCCCGGGCCGGCCGCGUGCACGUGAGCGCGCCGCCCGCUCGGUCUAAUUUUAGCGGUGAGGUGUCAGGGUCGUGUGAGGUGAGGCGGCGGGGUCCCCGCGGGGACAGGGUCACGCGAGUGAGUGAGAGAAAACGUUGAGUUGGAAGCUGGCCGAGCGAACAGCUGAGGAGACCCAGGCCAGCUGUCAUCUUGUCAAGGGGCUUCCGAGGCUGCAUCUUCCCUACAGGACUCAAGACACCUUCCUGCAAGUGUGUGAGAACAGGACACACACGUGCCUCCGUCAUCCAGAGUGCCCAGGCCAACGAUGUGUGGUUAGAUUGAGAGGGAAGAUAUGACUGGCACAUCUACUUCCACCAGCACCACUUCGAAGACAGGACAUGGACUGACCCCCUCCCACCUCCCCGGCAUGAGGAUGAUUGGAGGGGCCGGGUCUGGUGUUCCAGAUUUGCCAUAGUGUGUGGGACCAAGACUCAGGGUACUGGAGUGACCUUCUGGGAACCAGAUAGAAGUUUAGUGUUGAAGAAAUGAAUGCCAGGCACCUUGUAAAGUUGGCACUCAACCCUGCAUUGGAGAGAAGUUCUAGAAAGAAAGCCUUGUCGGCAGAAAGUGAGCUGCACUUUUGACGUGUGGGCUUGUUUGCCGUGUUCCAGUGACCUGCAUUCUGUUAGUGAGGGAUCCUUGGGUUUCACAUGGAUUGUCUCUAGAAGCUGUAAGAGGCCAUUGGCCUUUAUAGUAUCGGUAGACUUGAAGUGUUUAAUGAUAAAAGGCCAUGAUAAAUGGUAAUAUAGGAACAUUUUCUAGUGGUUGGGUGCUUCAGGUUUUUCUUUCUAAUCUUCCCCACUUUUAAAAAGGAAGGUUAGCCUUGAAAUUAUGACAAGAAUGAGAGAGUCUGUUGUGAUUUUUUUCAUUUGCUUUCCAAAAAUAAACAAAACCCUUGUGAAUUUGAAAGUGUUAAA